rnacentral:rRNA from 1 species
AUUGAACGCUGGCGGCAGGCCUAACACAUGCAAGUCGAGCGAGCGGCGGACGGGUGAGUAAUGUAUGGGGACUGCCCGAUAGAGGGGGAUAACUACUGGAAACGGUGGCUAAUACCGCAUACUAUCGGAUAACCCAUAUGGGAUUAGCUAGUAGGUGGGGUAAAGGCUCACCUAGGCGACGAUCUCUAGCUGGUUUGAGAGGAUGAUCAGCCAAACUGGGACUGGGAAACGGCCCAGACUCCGACGGAGGCAGCGGUGGGGAAUGUUGCACAAUGGGCGAAAGCCUGAUGCAGCCAUACCGCGUGUAUGAAGAAGGCCUUAGGGUUGUAAAGUACUUUCAGCGGGGAGGCGUUACCCGCAGAAAAAGCACCGGCUAACGCCGUGCCAGCAGCCGCGGUAAUUC